rnacentral:rRNA from 1 species
UGCCCGGGCGUUAACUAGACACAUGUCCGCCAGAAAAUUACGGGCGAAAGCCUAAAACUCAAAAGACUUGACGGUGUCCUAAUCUACCUAGAGGAGCCUGUUCCAUAAUCGAUAAUCCCCGAUAAACCCAACCACCUUUUGAAACCCCAGCCUAUAUACCGCCGUCGACAGCCCACCUUCCAAAAGAAUUAAAGUAGGCCAAACAGAUUUACUCUAAAAAGUCAGGUCAAGGUGUAGCUAAUAAGGUGGAGAUAAUGGGCUACAUUUUUUAAAUUAAAACACCACACGAACCAGUACUUUGAAACAAGACUAUAAAGGUGGAUUUAGCAGUAAGCUAAAAAAGAGUGCUUAGCUUAACAUAGCCCUAGGACACGUACAC